rnacentral:rRNA from 1 species
UACGUAGGGUCCGAGCGUUGUCCGGAGUUACUGGGCAAAGCGCGCGCAGGCGGCGGUGCUGGCCCGGCGUGAAAGCCCCCGGCUCAACCGGGGAGAGUCGUCGGGGACCGCACCGCUUGAGGGCGGUAGGGGCUGGUGGAAUGCCUGGUGUAGUGGUGAAAUGCGUAGAGAUCAGGCAGAACACCUGGGGCGAAGGCGGCCAGCUGGGCCGUCCCUGACGCUGAGGCGCGAAGGCGUGGGGAGCGAACGGG